ACUGUUACCAACCUAUAAUCACUGAAGGUGCUGUAGUUGAUCGUCCAGAGAGGCACGGGCUCCUUGUUGUUGGUUGAAGUCCUUUUUUCGGACAUUUUUCCUGCACUAAGAAGUAUUUACUAUUCCAGUUCGGGUUGGUGAUGGCUUUCACGAUGCUAGGAUUACAACGCUUUGCCCUCGGCUUGGUGCUGUUCUCUCUUCAUGUCACCAAUGGAGAUAUCAGCUAUUCUUUUCCGGAGGAGAUGAAACGCGGAUCUGUGAUCGGAAACAUUGUUAAGGAAUUAGGUCUCCAAAAGAACGGACUAUCGACCCGAAAGGCCCGCAUUGACACUGAGGAGAGCGAUAAACGUUUUUGUGACAUAAACCUCCAUAAUGGGGAUCUAAUUCUUGCAGAGAGAAUCGACAGAGAGGGCCUUUGUGGAGACAAAGCAUCCUGCGUUUUGAAACAGGAACUGAUGUUAGAGAAUCCGUUGGAACUGCACAGGAUUAGUCUACAUGUGCAGGAUAUAAACGAUAAUUCACCACAGUUUAACAAGGAGUUGAUCCAAAUAGAUAUCAGUGAAUCGGCAGAUAAGGGAGCUCGUUUUCCAAUAGAGGAAGCACAUGACGCGGACGUCGGUAAAUAUUCAGUUCAGACCUACAGCCUCCAAAAGAAUGAUAAUUUUGUUCUGGGCGUUGGAACAAGUUCUGUGGAGCUCGUUCUUAACCAUGAGCUUGACCGUGAAAAUGUGAAAGAAAUGAAUCUGCUCCUUACAGCUCUGGAUGGAGGCUCUCCUCAGAGAUCAGGUACAGUAGUUAUUCACGUCACUGUACUGGAUGCUAAUGAUAAUGUACCAGUGUUCAGCCAGGCCGUUUACAAAGCCAGUCUGCCUGAAAAUUCUCCACUGGAUACCAUUGUUCUAGCAGUGAGCGCUACUGAUGCAGAUGAGGGAUUAAAUGGGGAUGUUAUAUAUGAUUUUGGACACAUCUCAGAAGAUAUGGGGUCAAUAUUCGCCAUUGAUCAUAAGACAGGGGAAAUACAAUUAAAAAGAGCAGUUGAUUUUGAAAUGGCGACAUCGUAUGAACUGCGUGUCACAGCGAAAGAUGGCUUGGGAUUGACCUCAUAUGCCAAAGUCAUAAUUGAUAUAACAGAUAUAAACGACAACGCUCCGGUUAUAUACCUGAAAUCACUGACGAACCCCA